GCACCAUUGUGAAGUAACCAUUUUGUAGCAUUUGUAGCCAGCACUUCAGUAUUUAGUGGUAUGCUGAAGCUACUUUAGUAUGAGCAAGUGUACAUU
rnacentral:lncRNA from 1 species